CAGCAAACCAUUGGGUGUCAGCCCAAUGGCCACCAGCCCGUAUUCUAACCCGGAGGUGGCGGGUUCGAGUCUUGCUCGUUCCCAAUGCCCCUACGGUAGCGGAUUUACCCCCAGACUUAGUAUUAGGGGUAACCUUGAAUCCCAGUUUUAUUACUUGCUGCUGAUAGAAGGAUCAUAAAGUGUUUCAAAUGGAGCACGGGAGCUGGGCCCUGCAUCGAAUGUUCAAGAGAAGACCUAGUUGCAGUCACAUGCAUCGGAGCAAGCAAAAUAGGUGAACUUACUUACAUUUUUUGAUUAAAUUAUAUUCUUUUUUAGGGUGAAUAUGAAAUUGAAUUAGGAAUCUUUUUCAUUCUUUGUAGUUCAUAUGAUCAAACAUGUAUAUAGCUUAGUUUUUUUGUUUUUAUAACUCAUACAAAUAAAGUGGCAGUACUUGUAAGUCACAUUAAAAUAAUAAUAAAUAAAUGAAAAAAUGUCAAAAAUACAAUACUUGUUUUCAUUGGUAGGUUUUGCACUCAUUUUUUAUGUUGGUACAUCAUUGUUUUAGUGAGCCAAAAAUAUUGGACUAUUUCACCGUCAUUGGAGAUCUGAAGCUAUGGUGACAAAUUUAUAGAUAUGGAAACGUCUCGUACCAGCAACCGACUUCUUCCAACAACCACUAACACAACCGUCUUCUUCCUUGUCGGCGGUAAGUAAAACCGGAUUCGGCAACACCACCAACAGCCACUAACACAACCGUCUUCUUCCUUACCGAUGGUAAAUGAAACUGCUAUCGUUAAACGUUGUAGCCAUCAAUCAGUAAGUGAAACCACCUAGUGUACUUUAAACAAAUCGUCUUCUUCCAACAACCACUGUCGUUAAAUGUUGCAACGACCAAUCGGAUGUUGUGAUUGCUGAAACCACAUUCGAUUAGUGGCUAAUCGGUUAUUUUGUGGGAUAUGAUUUCAAUCAGUGGCUAAUCGGUUGUUUUGUGGGAUAUUAUUUUUUGGGUCAAUGUGGCAAUUGAAAAAAGGAUAAGAAAACAAUGAUGAGAGGAAUUGAAUGUAUUAAUUGUCUAGGUGAAAAAAGGCAGGUGAAAUUGAUAUGUUGUAUACAUUUUAGCAUUGUAUUUCAUAUUUUGUAUUUUUCGAACGUUUAGCAUAUGUUAGUUUGCUUGUGCAACUUAAAUUGAUCUCUUUUUAGUUUGUUACAUGUGUUACCUGGUUUUCCAGGUAACAUGUGUUACAAUGCUAUAUCCUAUGCAA